rnacentral:rRNA from 1 species
UACGUAGGGUGCAAGCGUUAAUCGGAAUUACUGGGCGUAAAGCGUGCGCAGGCGGCUUUGCAAGACAGAUGUGAAAUCCCCGGGCUUAACCUGGGAACUGCAUUUGUGACUGCAUGGCUGGAGUGCGGCAGAGGGGAUGGAAUUCCGCGUGUAGCAGUGAAAUGCGUAGAGAUGUGGAGGAAUACCGAUGGCGAAGGCAGCCCCCUGGGAUAACACUGACGCUCAUGCACGAAAGCGUGGGGAGCAAACAGG